ACAUGUAAUGUAACGGGGUAGAAAGAUAGUCUCUUCACUCAGAGAACCAAGGUAACGAAGUAACCCUACGUUUAGACACUAUCUGAAAACUUUCAUCUGUCUUUAUUAUUUUCAACACAGGUUCAAUUUUUUUCACUUUUUUUGCAUCCUUCCAAUUCAUGUUUCUCUUGUUGCAGGGAUCAAUAUUGGCAAAGUCUGCAGGAACUGAGGAAAUUUAUUCAAAUCCGAGAAGCAAGUGCUUUGGCCCGCAUCUCUACUGAUUUCUUUCUCAGAGAUGAGGACCAAUCGUCACGUCUGUCUGAUCUAUCCUCCACAGUGAUUGGUCAAACGGAAAAAAUAUCAAUUUUAAAAGAUUAGAAAAAAGCAACACAGUCCUGGAUCAAAUGUGGCAACGUCUGCAGAAACUGAAGAAACUCAAUCAAAUGCAAGAAGAACGUUUUUUUGCCGACCUCUCACCUGAUUGGUAUCAAGCAUGGCAACGUCUGCAGGAACUGAGGGAACUGUUUCAAAUCGAAGAAGAAAGUGUUUUUGACGACCUCCCACCUGAUUGGAUGGAGGAGGAAGAGGAGGAGGUGGUGGAGGCGGAAGAGGAGGAAGAGGAAGAGACCAAAUCCGUGAUCUAAAAGUCUGAACUUUGCGUCCAGACUUUGGGCUGACUGGUUGUUUGAAAACCAUGUUGAGUAUAAUGAUCUGUAGCUCUUUUAGUGACAGCUUGAUUUGGAUACAAACGAAUGAUGAGAUUCUUUGCUCACAUAAGACUGUUAUUUUUUAUUAUCCUACUGUCAUCAUCUUUGUAAUCAUUCUUUAAUUCUCUCUCUUGGAUUAUUUUCUCUUCGACUGAUUUUGAGGUCCUCGAAGUUAUUAUGCACCUUCCUGUAUUUUAGUCACUUUCAAACUCUAUAAUUAAUAAUACUUCUGUGUUAAAGUGUUUUCUUUGUCAAGGUUCAUACAGUAAAUACAGGAGUUGUAUUACUGAGUUUUAGUCAUUGUGCCAAUUAAACAAUGUGGAAAUACUUUGAGACAAAAUCUGAGAAGAAGCACUAAAGUCUGAGUAACAUCUUUUUAACAGUAUUUCAUUACACUGAAAGUACGGUGGCUGGGAAGUGCAAACCAAAAAUACAAAGUGUGAAAUACUUUUGCAAAGCUUAAGAAAAAUGUAAACAAAAUUACAAAAGCAACACACUUGAAUCAAAGACCAAACUUAUUUACAUUUUAAACACAUUUAAAAGGUUUCAAACACUUUAAGAGCGAUGAGACAAAUUUACAAACGUCAGAAAGGGGAAUGUACCAAAUGCUGGAAGCAGUCAAUGAAUCUGUUUUCACAUAUAC